CAGCAGCACCACAAGCUGGAACUACAACAUGAUGCGCCUGCACCACAACAUCAAGUGCAGGAUGAUGCACCAUCGGCCAAACCAAAAAUGAAAAAAAAAGGGAAUUUCCUCUUCUUCAGGUUUGUCAUCGCAUAUGCAAAGCAGAGAGCAACGCAACGUAAAUAUAAAAAUAAGCAAUGAAGAUGUGCUUGUGGCAGGUUCUGCAACAUAUUUGCAAGCAGAGCAAGAUGCCAAUGUUGAUAUUGCUUCA